AGCUGGUGUUGUGAAUCAGGCCGAUGCCACACGCCUGCUCUAACCCGGCUAUUUCACAACACCAGGGU
rnacentral:pre_miRNA from 1 species